UUAGUAUAAUGAAGAAUAUUUUUAAUUUUUCUGGGAAAAUUCUCUUUGAAUAAGCCAGUAGCAGAUGUGUUGCCUGUGAAGGAAGCAUCAAAGGAAGGCAUAAGCAAAACAAAAAUUUGAAAUGUGUACUUUGAAUCUAAAAUACCACUUUGAAACAAAUGAGAAUCCAGUGUUUUGAUAAUGAGAAAUCAAUGAGAGAGCCAGGCCAUUUCCAUUAAUCCUAUAAAAAUAUUUGUUAGUAUAUUUACCACCUCCAGCUAAGGGAGAUAUCUGUUACUAAAGAGGACCUACACUGCCUAAAUGAAGGAAAAUUUCUUCAUGAUAUUAUCACAGAUUUUUAUUUGAAGUA
rnacentral:lncRNA from 1 species